rnacentral:rRNA from 1 species
UAGAGGUUUGACGGUACCGUACGAAUAAGCAUCGGCUAACUCCGUGCCAGCAGCCGCGGUAAUACGGAGGAUGCAAGCGUUAUCCGGAUUUAUUGGGUUUAAAGGGUACGUAGGCGGGAGCUUAAGUCAGUGGUGAAAUCCUGCAGCUUAACUGUAGAACUGUCAUUGAUACUGGGCUUCUUGAAUGUAGUUGAGGUAGGCGGAAUGUGUAAUGUAGCGGUGAAAUGCUUAGAUAUUACACAGAACACCGAUUGCGAAGGCAGCUUACUAAACUACGAUUGACGCUGAGGUACGAAAGCGUGGGGAGCGAACAGGAUUAGAUACCCUGGUAGUCCACGCUGUAAACGAUGAUCACUCGUUGUUGGCAAUACACCGUCAGCGACUGAGCGAAAGCAUUAAGUGAUCCACCUGGGGAGUACGACCGCAAGGUUGAAACUCAAAGGAAUUGACGGGGGCCCGCACAAGCGGAGGAACAUGUGGUUUAAUUCGAUGAUACGCGAGGAACCUUACCUGGGCUUAAAUGUAGAACGACGGACCGGGAAACUGGUCUUUCUUCGGACGGUCUGCAAGGUGCUGCAUGGCUGUCGUCAGCUCGUGCCGUGAGGUGUCGGGUUAAGUCCCAUAACGAGCGCAACCCUCAUCAUUAGUUGCCAGCGGGUAAUGCCGGGGACUCUAAUGAAACUGCCGGUGUAAACCGAGAGGAAGGUGGGGAUGACGUCAAGUCAGCACGGCCCUUAUGUCCAGGGCUACACACGUGUUACAAUGGUCGGUACAAAGGGCAGCUACCUGGCGACAGGAUGCUAAUCUCGAAAACCGAUCUCAGUUCGGAUCGAAGUCUGCAACUCGACUUCG